UACGUAGGCAGCGAGCGUUGUUCGGAGUUACUGGGCGUAAAGCGUGCGUAGGCGGUUACUUAAGUCGGAUGUGAAAGCCCUCGGCUUAACUGAGGAAGUGCACCCGAAACUGAGUAGCUAGAGUACGAAAGAGGGUCGCGGAAUUCCCGGUGUAGAGGUGAAAUUCGUAGAUAUCGGGAGGAACACCGGUGGCGAAGGCGGCGACCUGGGUCGAGACUGACGCUGAGGCGCGAAAGCGUGGGGAGCAAACAGG
rnacentral:rRNA from 1 species